GACGAACGCUGGCGGCGUGCUUAACACAUGCAAGUCGAACGGAAAGGCCCUGCUUUUGUGGGGUGCUCGAGUGGCGAACGGGUGAGUAGCACGUGAGUAACCUGCCCUUGACUUUGGGAUAACUUCAGGAAACUGGGGCUAAUACCGGAUAGGAGCUCCUGCUGCAUGGUGGGGGUUGGAAAGUUUCGGCGGUUGGGGAUGGACUCGCGGCUUAUCAGCUUGUUGGUGGGGUAGUGGCUUACCAAGGCUUUGACGGGUAGCCGGCCUGAGAGGGUGACCGGCCACAUUGGGACUGAGAUACGGCCCAGACUCCUACGGGAGGCAGCAGUGGGGAAUAUUGCACAAUGGGCGGAAGCCUGAUGCAGCAACGCCGCGUGCGGGAUGACGGCCUUCGGGUUGUAAACCGCUUUCGCCUGUGACGAAGCGUGAGUGACGGUAAUGGGUAAAGAAGCACCGGCUAACUACGUGCCAGCAGCCGCGGUGAUACGUAGGGUGCGAGCGUUGUCCGGAUUUAUUGGGCGUAAAGGGCUCGUAGGUGGUUGAUCGCGUCGGAAGUGUAAUCUUGGGGCUUAACCCUGAGCGUGCUUUCGAUACGGGUUGACUUGAGGAAGGUAGGGGAGAAUGGAAUUCCUGGUGGAGCGGUGGAAUGCGCAGAUAUCAGGAGGAACACCAGUGGCGAAGGCGGUUCUCUGGGCCUUUCCUGACGCUGAGGAGCGAAAGCGUGGGGAGCGAACAGGCUUAGAUACCCUGGUAGUCCACGCUGUAAACGGUGGGUACUAGGUGUGGGGUCCAUUCCACGGGUUCCGUGCCGUAGCUAACGCUUUAAGUACCCCGCCUGGGGAGUACGGCCGCAAGGCUAAAACUCAAAGGAAUUGACGGGGCCCCGCACAAGCGGCGGAGCAUGCGGAUUAAUUCGAUGCAACGCGUAGAACCUUACCUGGGUUUGACAUGGAUCGGGAGUGCUCAGAGAUGGGUGUGCCUCUUUUGGGGUCGGUUCACAGGUGGUGCAUGGCUGUCGUCAGCUCGUGUCGUGAGAUGUUGGGUUAAGUCCCGCAACGAGCGCAACCCUUGUUCACUGUUGCCAGCACGUUAUGGUGGGGACUCAGUGGAGACCGCCGGGGUCAACUCGGAGGAAGGUGGGGAUGACGUCAAGUCAUCAUGCCCCUUAUGUCCAGGGCUUCACGCAUGCUACAAUGGCUGGUACAGAGAGUGGCGAGCCUGUGAGGGUGAGCGAAUCUCGGAAAGCCGGUCUCAGUUCGGAUUGGGGUCUGCAACUCGACCUCAUGAAGUCGGAGUCGCUAGUAAUCGCAGAUCAGCAACGCUGCGGUGAAUACGUUCCCGGGGCU
rnacentral:rRNA from 1 species